AGUCUGGGUGGUGUAGUUGGUUAUCACGUUAGUCUCACAAACUAAAGGUCCCAUUUCGAACCUGGGAUCAUACAUUA